rnacentral:rRNA from 1 species
CCUACGGGAGGCAGCAGUGGGGAAUAUUGGACAAUGGGCGAAAGCCUGAUCCAGCAAUGCCGCGUGAGUGAUGAAGGCCUUAGGGUUGUAAAGCUCUUUUACCAGGGAUGAUAAUGACAGUACCUGGAGAAUAAGCUCCGGCUAACUCCGUGCCAGCAGCCGCGGUAAUACGGAGGGAGCUAGCGUUGUUCGGAAUUACUGGGCGUAAAGCGUACGUAGGCGGUUAUUCAAGUCAGAGGUGAAAGCCUGGAGCUCAACUCCAGAACUGCCUUUGAAACUAGAUAGCUAGAAUCUUGGAGAGGUGAGUGGAAUUCCGAGUGUAGAGGUGAAAUUCGUAGAUAUUCGGAAGAACACCAGUGGCGAAGGCGACUCACUGGACAAGUAUUGACGCUGAGGUACGAAAGCGUGGGGAGCAAACAGGAUUAGAUAACCCUGGUAGUCCACGCCGUAAACGAUGAUAACUAGCUGUUCGGGCUACUACGAGCUUGNGUGGCGCAGCUAACGCUAAUUAAGUUACUCCGCCGUAGGGGAGUACGGUCGACAAGAAUUAAAACGUACGAAAGUAGUAGUACGGACGUGUAGACGAGACGACGACGACGACGACGGAGGAGGAG